rnacentral:rRNA from 1 species
GAUGAACGCUGGCGGCGUGCUUAACACAUGCAAGUCGAACGGAAAGGCCCUGCUUUGGUGGGGUGCUCGAGUGGCGAACGGGUGAGUAACACGUGAGUAACCUGCCCUUGACUUUGGGAUAACUUCAGGAAACUGGGGCUAAUACCGGAUAGGAGCUCCUGCUGCAUGGUGUGGGUUGGAAAGUUUCGGCGGUUGGGGAUGGACUCGCGGCUUAUCAGCUUGUUGGUGGGGUAGUGGCUUACCAAGGCUUUGACGGGUAGCCGGCCUGAGAGGGUGACCGGCCACAUUGGGACUGAGAUACGGCCCAGACUCCUACGGGAGGCAGCAGUGGGGAAUAUUGCACAAUGGGCGGAAGCCUGAUGCAGCAACGCCGCGUGCGGGAUGACGGCCUUCGGGUUGUAAACCGCUUUCGCCUGUGACGAAGCGUGAGUGACGGUAAUGGGUAAAGAAGCACCGGCUAACUACGUG